GCGCUAAAGUUCCUUAAUGGCAUGCCACUAAUAUUCCAGUAGUUCUAAAUUCCAUCUACUUGGGCAUUAAGGCUGAAUUUUAUACAUAUAAAAAAUAAUUCAAUUAUCAUACUUGCACAAUUUCACAUUUACACAUAUAUUCAUAAUAUAUAUUCCACUUUAAUUCAACCAAUAUAAUUUCAUCACAUAUCAAGACAAUCCAUUUCAAUUGUAAAACACAAUAAUUCUCACCUCAAUCAUUUACUAUAACAUUUAAUCAAAAUACAACAAUUAAUAAUUAGAUUCGGAUAUAGAAAUACAAACUAGGAAUUCCGAGCUAUUCGAUAUCGACU
rnacentral:lncRNA from 1 species